ACUUCAAAUACCACCCUGUAGUUUCUAAUUUCUCACUUUAGUAUUUAUGGUUUAAAAUGUACCAGUCCAGCAUUCUGUUAUUUUAUUUAUUUUCUUUUCGUCAGCCCUUCGUUAACUUUUCGUUAAAUUAUAUACAAAAAAUUUUAGAUACCCCACCUAUAGUUUAUCGAAUGUAUUCACUUUAGUUUCCUUUAGUUUUAAUUUUAUCACUGACUUAACAAAAAAAUUAGUAGAGCGGGUAACAAAAAUAGAAAAAUAAAAUAAAAUCACAGAGUACGAAAGUGAUACACUUUGAAUCAUAGGUUAUUAAAGUGAAAAAGUGCAAAAUCAUAGAAAUGGUAUUUGAAAUAUUUUUCUUUUUAAAUAUCUUUCACAAUUUGACAAUAAAAUAAAUUUUUAAAUACCUCUCAAAAUUUUCAAAACAU
rnacentral:lncRNA from 1 species